rnacentral:rRNA from 1 species
UACAGAGGUCCCAAGCGUUGUUCGGAAUCACUGGGCUUAAAGGGCGCGUAGGCGGGUGCUCAAGUCCGGGGUGAAAUCCUCCAGCUCAACUGGAGAACUGCCUCGGAUACUGGGUGCCUCGAGUGUGGUAGGGGUGUGCGGAACUAUCGGUGGAGCGGUGAAAUGCGUUGAUAUCGAUAGGAACUCCGGUGGCGAAGGCGGCACACUGGACCACAACUGACGCUGAGGCGCGAAAGCCAGGGGAGCAAACGGG